rnacentral:miRNA from 1 species
CUCUAGAGCGAAGCGCUUUCUG